AUGAACGCUAGCGACAGGCUUAACACAUGCAAGUCGAGGGGCAGCGGGGGUAGCAAUACCCGCCGGCGACCGGCGCACGGGUGAGUAACGCGUAUGCAACUUACCUAUCAGAGGGGGAUAACCCGGCGAAAGUCGGACUAAUACCGCAUGAAGCAGGGGCCCCGCAUGGGGAUAUUUGCUAAAGAUUCAUCGCUGAUAGAUAGGCAUGCGUUCCAUUAGGCAGUUGGCGGGGUAACGGCCCACCAAACCGACGAUGGAUAGGGGUUCUGAGAGGAAGGUCCCCCACAUUGGUACUGAGACACGGACCAAACUCCUACGGGAGGCAGCAGUGAGGAAUAUUGGUCAAUGGGCGUAAGCCUGAACCAGCCAAGUCGCGUGAGGGAUGAAGGUUCUAUGGAUCGUAAACCUCUUUUAUAAGGGAAUAAAGUGCGGGACGUGUCCCGUUUUGUAUGUACCUUAUGAAUAAGGAUCGGCUAACUCCGUGCCAGCAGCCGCGGUAAUACGGAGGAUCCGAGCGUUAUCCGGAUUUAUUGGGUUUAAAGGGUGCGUAGGCGGCCUUUUAAGUCAGCGGUGAAAGUCUGUGGCUCAACCAUAGAAUUGCCGUUGAAACUGGGGGGCUUGAGUAUGUUUGAGGCAGGCGGAAUGCGUGGUGUAGCGGUGAAAUGCAUAGAUAUCACGCAGAACCCCGAUUGCGAAGGCAGCCUGCCAAGCCAUUACUGACGCUGAUGCACGAAAGCGUGGGGAUCAAACAGGAUUAGAUACCCUGGUAGUCCACGCAGUAAACGAUGAUCACUAGCUGUUUGCGAUACACUGUAAGCGGCACAGCGAAAGCGUUAAGUGAUCCACCUGGGGAGUACGCCGGCAACGGUGAAACUCAAAGGAAUUGACGGGGGCCCGCACAAGCGGAGGAACAUGUGGUUUAAUUCGAUGAUACGCGAGGAACCUUACCCGGGUUUGAACGCAUUCGGACCGAGGUGGAAACACCUUUUCUAGCAAUAGCCGUUUGCGAGGUGCUGCAUGGUUGUCGUCAGCUCGUGCCGUGAGGUGUCGGCUUAAGUGCCAUAACGAGCGCAACCCUUGCCACUAGUUACUAACAGGUAAAGCUGAGGACUCUGGUGGGACUGCCAGCGUAAGCUGCGAGGAAGGCGGGGAUGACGUCAAAUCAGCACGGCCCUUACAUCCGGGGCGACACACGUGUUACAAUGGCGUGGACAAAGGGAGGCCACCUGGCGACAGGGAGCGAAUCCCCAAACCACGUCUCAGUUCGGAUCGGAGUCUGCAACCCGACUCCGUGAAGCUGGAUUCGCUAGUAAUCGCGCAUCAGCCAUGGCGCGGUGAAUACGUUCCCGGGCCUUGUACACACCGCCCGUCAAGCCAUGGGAGCCGGGGGUACCUGAAGUCCGUAACCGAAAGGAUCGGCCUAGGGUAAAACUGGUGACUGGGGCU
rnacentral:rRNA from 1 species